AUUGAACGCUGGCGGCAUGCCUUACACAUGCAAGUCGAACGGCAGCACGGGUGCUUGCACCUGGUGGCGAGUGGCGAACGGGUGAGUAAUACAUCGGAACGUACCUUAUCGUGGGGGAUAACGCAGCGAAAGCUGUGCUAAUACCGCAUACGCCCUGAGGGGGAAAGCGGGGGAUCGAAAGACCUCGCGCGAUUAGAGCGGCCGAUGCCUGAUUAGCUUGUUGGUGGGGUAAAAGCCCACCAAGGCGACGAUCAGUAGCUGGUCUGAGAGGACGAUCAGCCACACUGGGACUGGGACACGGCCCAGACUCCUACGGGAGGCAGCAGUGGGGAAUUUUGGACAAUGGGGGCGACCCUGAUCCAGCAAUGCCGCGUGAGUGAAGAAGGCCUUCGGGUUGUAAAGCUCUUUUGUCAGGGAAGAAACACCGGCUCUAACACAGUCCGGGAAUGACGGUACCUGAAGAAUAAGCACCGGCUAACUACGUGCCAGCCGCCGCGGUAA
rnacentral:rRNA from 1 species